rnacentral:rRNA from 1 species
CCUCAAUUCCAACGAGUAAUACGGAGGGUGCAAGCGUUAUCCGGAUUUAUUGGGUUUAAAGGGUCCGUAGGCGGAUGCGUAAGUCAGUGGUGAAAUCUCACAGCUCAACUGUGAAACUGCCAUUGAUACUGCGUGUCUUGAGUGAGGUUGAAGUAGCUGGAAUAAGCAGUGUAGCGGUGAAAUGCAUAGAUAUUACUUAGAACACCAAUUGCGAAGGCAGGUUACUAAGUCUCAACUGACGCUGAUGGACGAAAGCGUGGGGAGCGAACAGGAUUAGAUACCCUGGUAGUCCACGCUGUAAACGAUGCUAACUCGUUUUUGGGGAUUUAUCUUCAGAGACUAAGCGAAAGUGAUAAGUUAGCCACCUGGGGAGUACGAACGCAAGUUUGAAACUCAAAGGAAUUGACGGGGGCCCGCACGAGCGGUGGAUUAUGUGGUUUAAUUCGAUGAUACGCGAGGAACCUUACCAAGGCUUAAAUGGGAAUUGAUCGGUUUAGAAAAUAGACCUUUCC